GUAUUAAUUAAAAUGUUUAUUUCAGAUAGCAGCAUGGCAUGUGUAAGGUGGAGGGUGGCCAGGCUGCGUGUUACUCGGUGUGCACAAGUGCACACCCGACGUGCCUUACGGCACACCUGACCAUGCCGGACGGCACAGCCAGCAACACGCAACCAACGACGCCUGACGGCGUCAACCACUCUCGGGGUGCACAGGAACAAAUAUCAAAAGAUACUCUGAUGAUCCUUCCGCAGGUUCACCUACGAAAA
rnacentral:misc_RNA from 1 species